UUCGAAGUAAGUAACAGCAGGAUUCUGGGCUGAAAUUUGGAGCCAAACUUCUGUUUGUUCGCUCUUGAAAUCAAGAAGGUGGACUAGAGGUGGACACCUUCCGGGGCUGACAUCAAGGUGAUGGCAGGGCCAUGUUCCUUGCUGGACACUCCAUGUGAGAAACCACUUGCUUGUCUUUUGAAGGGUCUAGGGGCCACAGCACUUCUUGGCUUAAGGCCUCAGACACCAUCUCUGUAUCCAGCAAUGUCUGAAUAGGUUCUUCCCAUACUGCUGGGUCUCUCUCUGCCACAUAAUGUGUCUUGGACAAAGAAGGCAAGAAGUCACAACACAAUUAAUGAAAAAUGUCAUUAUGAGUGCUCAAUGAAAGCUACUAAAAUGACAAUACCCAGGCAUGAGUGUUUUUGUGGCAACUCCUAAUUGUCUCUAGCUUCUGGAAUUAUUCUCAUAAAAACCUUCUGUCCAAAUUUGAGGACACCACAAAUUCUGCUAAUAAGCCCCAAGAAACUUCAGCUUAAACGUGUCUUUGGCAAACAAAUCCACUUUUAACUUUUGGAAAGCCACAGAAAUCUUCCACACGGCAGACUGUCUUUUGACCUUGCCUUCCGGGAACUAUUUGUGCCGGAUGGACGUCUCAUGAAUUCUGCACCAACAGCUCGGUUUGCUUUCCCUUCAGGCGAAGCAUCUCUGCUCUUGAAUGCAAGAGGCCCCACCAGCGUCCUCGGGAUUCCAGGCUACCACCACAGCUGUCGCAGUGCGCUGUGGCAUUCAGGAAUGUGGGCAGAAAGCCCUAUAGGAAAGGGGGCACCAGACAGGCAGGGAAAAAAGAACAGCCCCCAAAGCUUGUGAGUGGCGGGGAUUUUUCAAAUCAAUCUCCACAGUACUGCUUCCCUGAAUUCACUGAAAAUGUGCAGUUUUCCUUUAUUCGGCGAGUCCAGUUCAUACCCCAAGCGAGGAAGGAUUCCUUCAAGCAGGCCAGCAGCUGCAGCACUCCGAAGGGAAAGAGGAAGACAAUACAUUUUCCUGCUUCAGUUCUGCCAUGGCAGGUGCGCACCCAGGGGCCCUGCCUCCAGAAGGAACUCAGUCUUGGCUGGAGAGCUGUCAAUUAAUCAUCCAGGAGAAUGCCUGGGACAGCGGGGAGAAAAGUCUCAUUCAUUUCCGCGGGACCACACCGCAGCCACUGAGCCAGUGUUUCUGCAAAGAAGAGUUCAGCUGCCUCCUGCCUCCAGGGGUCAUUUGUUUGUUCCUGCAUGUUAAAGAACAGCUCUCUACAGCUUCACACAGGCCUAUGCUGAGUCUGCCCAAGGAAUUUGGCGCAUGCCUGGUAGUUAUUCACUUUCACUGUUCAGGGAUCGAAUGCGCCCACUCUAUUUCUCCCCCCCAAAUCAAUUCUGCUCAUCCUUCACCGAGAUCCACUGCUGUCUGGUGCCACUGAUUUCUCUUCCUUUUUACUCCAUUUGAUGAAUAAAAUGGUUGUGGCAUUGUGGCCAUCAUUUACAACGACUAUGAUUAAAAAACAAAACAAAACAAAACCCUGCCUGUAACGCCCCCCACCCACCACUGCGUUCCCGUUUAGCCUUCUCAUAGCUGAAAGUAUG